rnacentral:rRNA from 1 species
UAUGAAGGGGGCUAGCGUUGCUCGGAAUCACUGGGCGUAAAGCGCACGUAGGCGGACUCUUAAGUCAGGGGUGAAAUCCUGGAGCUCAACUCCAGAACUGCCUUUGAUACUGGGAGUCUUGAGUUCGGGAGAGGUGAGUGGAACUGCGGGUGUAGAGGUGAAAUUCGUAGAUAUUCGGAAGAACACCAGUGGCGAAGGCGACACACUGGCUCACUACUGACGCUGAGGCGCGAAAGCGUGGGGAGCAAACAGG